UAUAGGAAAGUAUAUAAAGAAACUAUUAGGGAUCCUUGCUAUAUAUUAAAGAGAGUAUUAGUGUUUCUCGCCGCCUGUCCAUUGUAGUGGGGGGGGAAAAUACCAUAUUUAACUUGUGUAGUAUAGACACGACACACAUGAACUCUUAGAGAAAUUCAAUAAUAAACGAAGUGAAUCGAAAUAUCUUAGUAACUUCAGGAAAAGAAAUCAAACGAGAUUCUAUCAGUAGUGUGAAUGAAAGUAGAAAAGUCUUAGUAUAUAUCCGGAUUAAUAAAAAGGAAAGCUUCGAGAAGGACGCCUUAAAAAAAAAAAAAAAGAUAUAGAAAUAUUUUAAGUAAAACGGGCAAAACCUGUUUGAAUAUAAAGGGGAACCUUCCUCUAAGACUAAAUAUAAUAUAUAAGCAAUAGCGUACUAGUACGGUGAAGGAAAGGUUUGAAAUAGUAGUUUUAUAAGCAGCUCGAAUAAAUUUUAAUUAAAUAGUAAGAGCGUACCUUUGGCAUAAUGGGUCAGCGAGUUAAUGUUAGAUGCGAGCAGGAAUGCCCAGAUAAACCAGUUGUGAAACAAUGAAUUAGUAUCUAAAAUUAGACCCGAAGCCUAGUGAUCUUACCACAGUCAGGAUUAUAAAAGUCCGAACGGGUUAUCGUUGUAUAGAUAUCCGAAGAACUGUGGUAAGUUAGUGAAAGACAACACUGACUAGGAUAGCUGGUUUUCUGCGAAACCUAUAUAAGUAGGUAAUUCAAAUUACAUCAUAGCAGGUACAGAACUGUGAUCUCAGGCAACUUUUAUUUUAGUGGUUUAGUGGGUAACCCUAUUAAACUAUAAGGUAAUUUUGCAUAUAUCGGGGGAUCGUGAUGGUUUUAUCGGUGAGUAUUCGCACUCGGAAGGGCAAUGAUGAAUAUUGAAUAAUCGGACAUAGUACGCUAAGGUUGUAUGUCUAAAGGGAAACAGCCCAGAACAAGAGUUAAGGUUCCAAAAUUAUUGUUAAGUGAAAUUAAGGAAGUUACUAUCUAAUACGACUAGGAAAUUGGCUUAGAAGCGGCCAUUUUUUGAAGACCUCGUAACAGAGCACUAGUUUAGUAAAAAAAGCUUUUUUUUUGCUUUGAUAGUUGCACCGAAGAUUUAGCGGAUCUAAAUAAUAUACCGACACCUUGUCCAUUUUAUAUAUAAUCUCGGCUGAUUGUAAAGGUUAAAUUUAUCAAUAUUAAAUUUUUCAUUAUUAUAUAGAAUGGGGUAGCAGAACGUUGGGUAAACCCCUUUUUGUAUGUUAGCCAAAAGGUCGGCAUACAAACCGUAAAAAAGAAUUUACAACUCUUUUUCGGAAGAUAUUUUCUUUUUAAGAUUAUAGUUUGGGUAUCCCAAGUGAGAAUGCUGACAUGAGUAACGAAAAAGGGGAAACCCUCGCCUAAAGCUUAUGGUAUUUGAGAAAGUAACGGCCUCUAAGUUUACCUACCUAAGGGAUUAAACGAUGAGUAAAUCUUUGUUACAAAGUAACAACCUUUGCAUAAUAGUGAAGAAGGUUCUGGAAAAACAGUAACAAUUAUUUAUAUUAAUAAUAAUAAUAACAGCAUAUUAGUUUAUUUUAAUUAUGCAAUAAACUUUAGUUCUAUAUUUGAUAGAACUAUCUCGAAAGACAGACAAGGGCAAGUCUGCUAUCCUUAAGGGAUAGCUAAUAUAUUUAUUUUAAGGCUAUUUAUUUUAUGCGUAUAAGUAGUUAUAAAUAUAUUUAUAAAAGGCACUAAUGCUAAAGAUUAAACCACCUCUGAUAGAAUAGAGGAUGGUAUUUUUUUUACUUGUUUUUCUUUUUAUGAAUUUUAUAAUUUAAAAAACAUUUUUAUUAUUUUUAUAAAUAAAAAAACCGUACCUAAAUACUACCACAAGUAAGCUAGUAGAGAAUACGAAGGCGUUUGAGUGAACAAUCAUUAAGGAACUCGGCAAACUAACUACCGUAACUUCGGGAUAAGGAGAGCCAUUCCUCCUAAUUAAUAUUAGGUAAUGAAUAGGAAGCAUGGAAUAGUGUUGUACGACUGUUUAAUUAAAACAAAGCACUCUGCAAUAAGAUAAUAAAUCAAAGUAUUGAGUGUGAUUUCUGCCCGAUGUCGGCUGGUUAACGGAUUUUCUAAGUUGACUAAUAUAAGCUUGGUUUUGAAGGAAACCCCGAUCAAUGGCGGCCUUACCUAUGAGGGUCCUAAGGUAGCGGAAUACCUUGGCCGUUAAAUGCGGUCUUGCAUGAAUGAUUUAACGAUACAACAGCUGUCUCAAUGAUUGGCUCAGUGAAAUUGGAAUAACUGUGCAGAUACAGUUUACCUCUAGUUAGACGAGAAGACCCUAUGCAGCUUUACUGUUACUAGUAAUUGGAUAUGAUAUUAAGAGUAUUAGGAAUAAGGUGAAUAAGAAUAAGAGGUCCAACAGUGAAAUACCUUUAACGAUUAAAAUCAUAUUGGUAGACGUUGUCUACGUCAAAGUGUAUGGCGUCAUGGCUUUAAUUAGAGCCGCAAAAAGUGGCGAUAAAAAGAGGAGAUCUAAACCUCGUCUCUCCAUAAUUACUAUGACUAACCUUAAGGGAACAAUUGCUAGGAGGCAGUUUAUGCGGGGCACAGAUCCCAUAAAAAGUACCUGGGAGUAUCCAAAGUCAAUUAGGUAAAAUUGUCAUAAUCUAAACAUGACAGAAGAAUAUAUUAUUUUAUGCGCAAGCGAAAUAAGUGUUUUUUAGACAUAUUUAGUAUGUUAUUUGGUGUAGCUUAAGCUAUAACCAAUCCAGCUACAUAUCUUAUUAAGUUAGAACCAACAUUUUUAAACCAAGUAAGAUUUUAACUAUAUGGAAAAUAGAUGUAAUUAAACCAUUAGUAAAAAAAAUUUCUUUUUUAUUAUAAUGUUUUUAGUUAUCUUAUUUAGUAUGCUAUAUAAAGGGGUAAUACCUUUAAAAAACACAUAAAACCUUUAUGUGAAUAGUUAAGAACACUAAUAAUAUAAUUAUGUUUAUUACUUGUCAAGUUUAACGGCUUAAUCUUGCUUUACUGUUUGACUUACACGUCUAUCAGUCGCGUAAGCGGGGCAUAUGAUCACAAGAUGCAGAAAGGAAAGGUCUUGGAUUUUUGAAAAAGCUACGCUAGGGAUAACAGGCUAAUUGCGCCAGGAAGUACAAAUUGAGUGCGCAGUUUGGCACCUCGAUGUCGGCUUAACUUAUCCACAUGAAUGCAGGAGACAUGAAGGGUUCGACUGUUCGUCGAUUAAUAAGUUACACGAGCUGGGUUAAAUACGUCGUAAGACAGUAUGGUUUCUAUCUUCUAGAGGAAAUUAGAAUAAAAUAAAACUAGUCCCCUCGUACGAAAGGAGCUGGGAAUGUUAACCUCUGGUUUACCUGUUGUUUAUGUGCCCAAUAUUAACUUGAUUAAAUCUCCUAGAAUAAACUAAAACAGAUGACGAGGAGUGGGGUGUUACUUUCACAAAGUAAAUUUAUAACAUAGGCACGGCAGGAACGCUAUGUUAACUAAAAUAAGUGCUGAAAGCAUCUAGGCACGAAAUUAUCUUUAAUAUAUUCUUAAAGGUACGUAGUUCAACACUACGAUUUUGCAUUUGGCAAUUAAUAGGCUUUAGCUGAAAGGAUUUAAAUGUUUUUAGGCGUAAAGUACUAAUUUUAAGAUUUA
rnacentral:rRNA from 1 species